UACGCGUCCGUCUCACCUAGACCACCUCUCGUCCCCGCACCCACCCCCAAUCCGCCGCCUCCUUUCCUCCCCCAGUCCCCACCUCUGCUCCUCCUCCUCCCCUAAUCACCCCCAUCGCCUCCUCCAUCUCCACUUCUGGUCGGGGCGCCGCCUCCUCUCCACCUCGUGCCCCCCUCCUCCCACUCCGCCACCUCCACUCCGCUGCACCCAGCCGCUCCGAGGACCAUCGAUGAGGCGAGGAGAGCGGUGCCAUCGGACCCGCCGACCCGGAGCCCGCGCCCUCCUGACCAAGCACCGUACGCCUCCUCCCCCGUCCCCGGCCACGCCGGCCGCCAUCGCAUCAUCGCACAAAAUGCGAGCUCGGCUGAUGGAUUGCAUACUAUUUGGCUGAGUUGUUUUGUUCUAAAGAUACAAUCGAGCUGAAGACUUCUUUUGUAUGGAAAUUCACUAUGGAAACCGAAAUAAUGGUACUCUGCACAACCGUUGACUUUCUUGCAUCGGUUCUUCAUUCUAUAAGUCACACCUUUUCUAUUUGGUAAAAGAAGAGUGAGCUCAUGCUUGAACUCCCACCAUAUAUGUUAACACUUGGAUACUGUAUCAAACCUCUGAUCGUUUAUAGUUUUCCCUUGCAUUGCCUCCUUUAACUCUUCAGCUGGACCUUUGAAAAGAAUGCUUUUUUGGUUAUAUAAUUUAUUAUGUUUUGUUUCGUUGUCGAGAGGUAGAAUGUAAAGUAGGCUGCUAUUUUCAUUCUAUUCAUAUGCAGAUAUUUGAUAUAAGUGAAUAUAUACCUUUUGGUAGGUGAAUGUGCUCUCCAUUAAUAUCACUGAUAUAUUUGAACUUCAGAGAAGGAUAUCUAUGACAUUUUGUUUUGGGUUUUUGAACAAAAGAGUGUUGUAAGUGUAUCGUUAAGAGGAUGAAGCAGCAAAAUUACCAAUUUAGCAGGAUGUGGCUGAUACGUACAGAGUGGCUUUACUUAGGUCUGGUGUUACUACUAUUUCUUUCAUUGUAAAACUGCAGUGCGGCAAAGUUUAUAGAUUUAUCAACCAUGCUUUUGGUGCCAGUAGUUUUGACUGUAGCUGUUGUGCAACUCCGUGUGUCUGUGAUCUAUUGUUUAAAUAUAACAUAACAUUCUGAAAUUGUUAGUUGUUCUCUAUGUAUGAGAAAUCAUGAAAGAACUGUCUGCUAGGGGUAAAUAAUCUUUUCCGCUGUUUGAUAAAACAGUUAGGCCGCUACCCUCUCAUAUAUUUUUAUUCUUUAUUGAAGAAAUUCCUAGCCUUGAAUACUAUUUUCUCCAUGGUUUUUAUGUUGUGCAUUCUACAAUGCAGGAUACUGAAUCAACAGUUACACGGAAGUUUGAUGAUGUGUGAGUAGCAGAAACUGAAAGAAUAAGCAUUAGUCCUCUGAGAAGAGGUUGACAUUAUAUGCCCCUUCAGUGCUCGCUUUUGUCUUCCCCUAAUGUUCAUCGUCUCAAGGCUACUGGCCUAGGAGUAGUCAUAUGCAAGUUCUGGCUAUCGCCCCUAUCCUCUUUCCUGCAGUGCAUGAUGAGAGAGAUAUGGCGAGGGAGGUGGCGAGGAAGUCGUUGGUGAUCUUGAAGAAUGGCAAGACGCCGAGCGAUGCACCGCUGCACCAACUGCCCAAGACGCCGAGCGACGCGCAGCUGCUGCCGCUGCCCAAGAAGAUGACAAGCACAAAUGAUGGUUUGAUCUGUGUGUAGUUGCAUUGUUUAUUUCUUAAUCAGUGGAGAUCAUUUUUAUUAAUUAUUUUGACACGACCCCUAUGCUUUCUGUCAAGAGAUUGUUUUUGUACUUGCCUAUUUAUUAUUAUCUACCAUUUUUAAAUCUUCUGCAGCAUAGCAUGUGCAGUACUAUACUCCUAUUAUGCAAAGACUUCGGGAGGAUUAGCAGUUUCAAAUUCUACUAUCGAGUUGUUUUCUCUUUUUGAAUUACAAAUGCCUACCCAAGGUGUUAUUUUCUCGCAUCCUAACCUUUUAAGAUAAUAUUCAGAUGAACUUCUGGAUGCAACGUCCUGGGCAUGUGCUUUCGAGCAAUAUUUGAAUAAAGAUACCGGCAUUUUUUGUUUCCAUUUCCAGCACAUCUUACUCUAACCAAUCCUAUUACUAUUUGUGUUCCUAAAAUUUCCACUAAAGUGUGAGACGAGCGAUGGUGGGGGUGUCGAGCUGCGAUGAGGUGCCGCUCAGGUGCGAGAUUUCCACUAAUUUUCUAUAUUGCUUAUUUAUGCAUUUGAGACCAUAACUUUCCACUUUAGCUCAUAAACUGGAUGUCAAAAUAGAGUUUUCCCACUUCAUAUCUAUGUUGUCUUAUUAGUAAAAUGGAGUUUGUUUUAUAGCUGAUGCUUAAUAUGCUUUAUCGACUGGUGAAUGCUCAACUUUGGCUCAUAAACUGGAUGGCAAAUGCUAAUUCUGAUGGGGCUUUUGCCACUUAUUGUUUUAUGGUUGUCUAGACAGAUGAUGGCAUGCUUCUUUCUUGCUAAUUUUCAAUUCUUUUGUACAUGGUCCCUCAGCUACUUAUGCUUUGCUAGACAAUGAGAGUAUGUAGAUAGCAUGUAUGGUUUUUACAUUGUUUUGCGCAGGUUGAGAUGCAUCACAUGAUGUUUUCCUUUUACAUUUAUGAGUAUUACAGAGUUCUUUCUUUUUCCACAAGGGGCGGUAGCUGUGCCAUUUGAUUCGAAGGACAAAAAGUUGAUCACAAAGGGGUAGCAUUCAGGAUAUAUACACACAGAAGAGUAUAGAACCAAAUUAUAUGAUGUAAUUGACCAUUAUUUCUAUUAACUUCUCUUAUACACAAUGUUCACGAGUUCAUGUACUAAGUACAUUUUAUUGUGUCACUUGUGUUUACUUUUUUCCAAUGCAAGUUUACAGCUACUUGGAGUUUCUAAUUGUAGACUCAACUAUCUUGACCUACCGAUGAUCU